rnacentral:tRNA from 1 species
GGUUGUGGCUCAGUGGCAGAGCGCUUGCCUCGCACAUGUGAGGCACUGGAUUCGAUCCUCAGCACCA